GCCCUUCAAAAUGAUAAAAAUCUAAUUUAAUCCUUUAAAAUUAUAAAAUUAUAGACUAUUAAGAUAACAAAUGUAAUAGGCCCAAUUUGCCCUGGCCUGAUACAGAUAUUAAAAACCAAUAAUAAGCAAUCCAAUCCAAUAAUGUCAAUCCAAUUACAAAAGCCUAAUACACUUUUCAAGCCCGAUUACAGACCCAUAUACAUGGCCCAAAUCACUAACCCAAAAGACCCCACUAAAACCCAAACCCACUAGCCUAGAAACCUUUAGCCCAAUGAGCCCAAAACGCAAAACAGGAGCAAGGAACCCUAGCAGCUUCCAGCGCCGUUCUCCCCAGCCACGCACGCCUCCGUACAGCCUUCCCUCGCACGUACGCCACUGCCACCUUGACCCAGCCUCACGCGAGCCUCCACAUCACUGCACCUGACACCGUACUCGUACCUGCACUCGCAACAAACGCCUGCAAAACAAGCAGAGACAGAACGCAAAAGAAAAAGGAGAAUAGCAGAAAAAUAGGAGAAAAAAUGAUGUAUUUUUUUAUUUUAUUUUCGAUUCGGCUAUAAAGCCAUUUUGAGAAUCAACACACAGCGACAGAGAUUGUAAAAACAAACUCAGAAAAAAAUAUCAAUACAACAAAGGUUUUUUUUCUCUCUUGGCGAUUCUGUUUUUUUUUUUUUUUUUAUCGUUCUUCUUUCUUUCGUUCUUUGUUUUGUUAUUAAUACAUACAUAAGCAUAUAUAAAAUAAAAAGAAACAGGGGAGAGACUCACCUUCCGGUUUGAGGCCGCCGGACCUCGCUCGCUUCGUCGAAAUCGAAAUUCGAGAGGGGGUGCAUCAGGGUUGCGGCGGAGAGAAAAGGAGAUCCUUUUUCUGUCUUUUAGAAUGGUUUAGGGUUUAUUUCCUUUUUCUUUUUCUUUUUCAUUUAUGC
rnacentral:lncRNA from 1 species